rnacentral:rRNA from 2 species
UUGGGCGUAAGGGCUCGCAGGCGGUUUCUUAAGUCUGAUGUGAAAGCCCCCGGCUCAACCGGGGAGGGUCAUUGGAAACUGGGGAACUUGAGUGCAGAAGAGGAGAGUGGAAUUCCACGUGUAGCGGUGAAAUGCGUAGAGAUGUGGAGGAACACCAGUGGCGAAGGCGACUCUCUGGUCUGUAACUGACGCUGAGGAGCGAAAGCGUGGGGAGCGAACAGGAUUAGAUACCCUGGUAGUCCACGCCGUAAACGAUGAGUGCUAAGUGUUAGGGGGUUUCCGCCCCUUAGUGCUGCAGCUAACGCAUUAAGCACUCCGCCUGGGGAGUACGGUCGCAAGACUGAAACUCAAAGGAAUUGACGGGGGCCCGCACAAGCGGUGGAGCAUGUGGUUUAAUUCGAAGCAACGCGAAGAACCUUACCAGGUCUUGACAUCCUCUGACAAUCCUAGAGAUAGGACGUCCCCUUCGGGGGCAGAGUGACAGGUGGUGCAUGGUUGUCGUCAGCUCGUGUCGUGAGAUGUUGGGUUAAGUCCCGCAACGAGCGCAACCCUUGAUCUUAGUUGCCAGCAUUCAGUUGGGCACUCUAAGGUGACUGCCGGUGACAAACCGGAGG